rnacentral:tRNA from 1 species
GAAAUAUGUAAUUCAAGAAAAGACUUCUAAUCUUCAUCUUUAGCAGUGUAAUUCUGUUUAUAUUUCU